rnacentral:lncRNA from 1 species
ACAACCGUAGGUGCAAGAAAGCACUUACAAAUAUCUUAGCUUACUCCUAGCUAGCUUUCUGCCCAAAAGAAAAAAAUCAUAUCUAUAUGACUAUAUCUGGAGCAUACCUCAAUUAAUUGAAUCCAUCUUAGGCAAAAGCAGCACCAUGGACGCAGCCAACCUACAGUGUCUCCUAUCUCCUUUAGCAAACAAAUCAAGCAUUAAAAGCGAAGCAAAUGCAAAAGGAACCCAAACAUGGCCAAAACAACACAAGAACUAUGUUGUUGGCUAGAACCUAAAAACGAACAGAAGACUUCGCUGCCCUACCUAAUUUCUACUUUGAUGUUGUUAUUACUAAAAUGACCAUAUGUUUCAGGUCAGACAAGAUACCAGGCAGCAACUAUUAGUAGAACAUGUAGUACAUAGUCGUAUAGGCUGAAUGUUUACAGCUGAAAAUAGCACUUUGUAAUAGAUAUUUACAAGUAAAACAAAGUGGCAACUGUUGCUAGAGCGGUCUGCACUGGCUAAGGUUGACGUUCCAGAUACAUUCUUCCAUCCGAGUGCUCUGCUAUUUUCUUCAAAGCAGAGGAAGAAGAUUUGGCAUAUGUGCUCGACCAUGUGGUGUCAUUAAUCAUUGAAAUUUUUAAAUGGUAUUACCUGUCAUUCUGAGACACCAACAUCUAUUAACUUAUGAUUCUGCAAGGCACACACAUAAGUAAAUGUAAGCACAAGUUUCUCACAAGUAUGUCAAGGGCCAUUGCUACGUUAACAGAAAAGAACAGAAAGAAAUACAAUGGAAGAGGAAGCACCAGGGACCAUACCUCAGGCUCGAAGUACAAGAAGGGGAGGCCGGAGCAGCAUGAACUGGGGUAGUACGGAUGAAGGACGACGGGCUGGAGAGCAUGACGUGACCAGGGGCGGAGGAGCACGCACAGGAGGAGGACGACCAGGAGGGGCCGGCGGCGCCAAACCUAUCUCGCUGCACGCCCAUCUCGGCAGUUCAAGAGAGGUGCAAGGAGAUGUUGCAGCCCAGGGAGAAAGCAUGGAGGGAGCGGCGACAUUUGGGCGGCGCUAGGGAUGCGGCGGAGGGCGGAUCAGAUCUACGGACCAUGGUACUUGACGACGGCGGAGGAGGUAGCUCGGCGACAGCGGUGGUCCAGGAGGAAGGUUGGUGCGAUGGGUGGUCGAGGGAUGCUGGCGUCGGGCGGCGGAGGGCGGUCGGUGGCGGCUAGGGUCAAAGUAGAAGGGAUUUGGGCUAGAUCUGGUCGGGACAACGGUAGUAGGGUCGUAACAGAAGGCAUUUUGGGCUUUCUAGCGCGCGCUUUCGUGGUAGCGCGCUGUUGGGCCCAAUUAUUUCGUUUUCACACCAUGAACAGUUCCUGGCAGAUAAUGGGCCCAGAUUUAGUUCUCCCGGUAGAUAAAAUGACAUAAAUGAUGGAUAUGAACGCCGACAGUAAAUAUGUCCUUGUUGCUCAAUUUCUACCGGCAGUUUUUCUACCUGGAAGGACUUGUGCCGGUGGUUAAAUGAUCCCUGGCAGUUUGUUUGCCUUUAUAUUUGUAUUUCUCCCGGCAGUUAACUACCCCUAAUCAAGUGUUGUGGUGUAGUGGCGGCCUGGGUAUGGAUAUCGGUGGUUCUCACUUGUCACAGAUGGGCUCGUUCCCGUGGGAAGAGCAUGGACCCUGGAUGCGCUCCAUGUUGUCACAGAUGGGCUCCUUCCCCUUGGAAGAGCACGGCCGUAGGGUGCCCUCCCUAAUGUCGCAGACGGGCCCUUUCCCCUUGGAAGAGCAGAUGGGCUCUUUCCCCUUGGAAGAGCCGGAGAGGGUGCCCUCCUCGUGGUAGCCGUCGAUGAGGUCUGAAUUGGAAGCUGUGGAUCCCAAGCCAGCGUCACAUAACGUGUCCUUCCGAAAUGACAAAAGGGGCUCGAUGGCGAUGUAGAAUGGCAAAUUGUUGAGAGCGAGCCAGAGGAGAUCAGCGGCGGGGCCAUGGAUGAGAUUGGCGGCGGUUGAACACGAGGGGUUGGGGGAGGGCCACUUAACCUAUGACACAACUCGCCUCAGGGCGUCGCUGUCAAUGACCUCAAUGUCGUAGAUGGUCGACGAGACAUGCCCGCAUACUCUAGCCCUCUGCUUGAGUGCCUGCCGCCAGUAAGGGUCGUCAGCUCCCUCAGUGAUGUCAGGCGAAGAGACCGCUAUACACCUCUUUUGGGCUAGUCGCUCCUCGAGCUCCACGGGAAGCGUAGCCGGGCUUAGGCUGCGAUGCUCUAGAGUGGGGGAUGGGGAUGGGAUGUGGAUCUGUGGGAAAGGGGGUGUUUGGCAUGCAUCAUCUAAGAAACUCAAGAUGCACUACACCACACCACUAUUGCAAAGACAGGUAAUCUGCCGGGAGAAAGCCAUUAAGAGGGCAGACAAACUGCCGGGAGAGUGUUUUUACCGGCAGAUAGAACCGCCACUAGAACGGCUGCCGGGGAUUACUUGUCCUGGCAGAUAAACUAUUCCCGGAAGUUUCUUUGCCCCGACCUAUAUAUCUGCCGGCAGAUCAUUUUGUCCUGGCAGACUUGUCAUAGCACGGGAUCUAUAAUUGUGGGCAGUGAAACUGCCGGCACAAACUAGUCUUCCCGGUAGUUAGUAUGCCAUCAUGUUGUUUUCACUAGAAAACUAGUAUACAUAUCUCUAAUUUAAUAUCCACACUGCGUUAGGCAAUCAAAACAGAUCACAACUUAUACAUAUAGCUUCAAUCGAAGUUACAUAUAGGCCUCAUUCAAAACCUUGAACUUCACAAAUAUUUUUAGACUGAAAAAACCAAUACUUCAACAUCCAUACAUGCGUUCGGUAGCAACCAGCUACAGCGGUAAACAAACUUUACAUAAGCUGAUAAGAUUUCGAGUCUUCAAACUAUGGUACACACAUGGUUUAAGCUCAGCACGUGGUUGCAACCAUCCUGUGAAAUUGUAUUAUUCGAAGAUGGCCACAUGUCUCCAGCAGAAGAGUCAUGAGCUUGCAAUGCUUUGAAGGUAUUACUGUAAAAAGAACCAUUACGUAGACAUCCAAGUUGACUGGUACAACUACUAUCAUGUAGAAACAUCUUCGAGUGACGAUACCAACCUGAAUAGAUAAGAUAGUACAACUGCUAUGAGCAAAUAACUUUGGUUAAUGAGCUAUAUUGGAGCACAUAAAAAAUGGACAUAGGCUCAGACAGCAAAUAGAUAAUUUCAUAAUAAUAAUUUUGCAAACAAAAAAGCAAACCAUAGUGACAUUUUCAAAGAAAGUAGCAUACAACUACAUAUGGCAGCUGACAUGUUUUCAAACUUCCCAUGUGUAUCUAUACCAAUCUUAUUAUAGUUGAGUAUGAAUUCACAAGUAUUGAUACUUUCCAUUACAAUUCAAGCUAUGUUUAAACAUUACAGGAGAUGCUUCCUUCCGCACAAACAACACAGGUUCAUGCAUAAUGUGUAUAUAAUUAUGAAAGAUAGAUCAUGCAAGACCAUGAAGAAAUCUGGAAGCAUGAUGCUAGUUGAUGGACGAAUCAAAUGAAAAACAAGGAUAUGUGUUUCUUUUAAAGAAAAGUAAAAUAUAAGGAACCACCAUCUCUAUGUUCAAGACAACCCUAAAAAGUGAUAGCCUUUUGCCCUGUGAUGCUAAAAGAGCGGAACCACCAGGCAAGAUACAUAUAUCAUUGACAACUUUAGUAUCAAGAGGAAGUCGUAUUGUACGAGAUUCACGGUUGGAUAGCGUGCUAGCCUGUUCACAUUCAAAAUUUACUAUAAGGUGUUGCAAAAGCUUAGCGGUGAUAUCCAUUAAUUUGGCAAUGAACAAGAUUUAAAUGUACCCUUCUAAGAACAUGUUCUCCGCCUACACAAGGCACCUUCCUAGAUUCUUCAUUAAUGUUUCUCCCUUUAUCCAAAUCAAGUUGACCAUGUGACCAUAACCGGGACAUAAUUAACUUAAAAGAAGUAAACACACAAAUAUAUCUAAACUGGAUCUGAUUUGCUGGAUUUCCAAUUAAAUGGUGAACUUUCUAACGAUGCUUCCUAUGAAUCUUGAUAUGUACUUUUUAGAAUCCUAUUAAUAAUUAGAUAUGAGUAGAAAGGAAAAAGCACCUCUCGGUGAUUCAGUCACUGCUUGUAUGCUUUCAUCUGAUGGGUUAUUACAUCACGAUCGAUUAGUCAAAACAAAGUAUGCAACUCCUACAACUGACUGUAAUGUAACAAUCAGAUGCAACUAAGGAGCAGCUACAAAAGUAAAGUAAUUUUUUAAACACAGUUGGAACUCGAUUUACCUCUGAACAUUACAUAAGCCAUAGUUCUCAUGCAUCUUAUUUCUUAGCUAUUAGAGGAGAAAAUAAAAUUGUGUACGUUCAAGGGAUCAUAAACGACAUACAUCAAAAGACAUCAAAACCUUUCUUCGAGGACAGCCUAAAGGCACGUCAGUAUAGCAUACAAUCUACAAACUACAAUUACCUAUAUAGUGGGAUGUUAAGAAUGAACAAAACUACAUACAUAUAAAGGUGCUUCCUUUUCAUAUGCUGCUUAGCUCACACGGAAAGCUAAACACUUUUUUCUCGGCGUGAGGUUCUCGACAAAAGUAAGGUUCAGUCCAUGUAUGUGAGGACAUCUGAUAUGUGCAACAAAGUAUAUACUUUGGCAUGUACCUAAGAUGGUAUUUCUCAAAGCAUAGGAAGACCCUCUGAUCUCCUGUGUAUAUCAUUACUUUGACACCUAAACGUUGGCCUUAUUUUUCUCGAAAGAAUUUUUACAUAUGAAAUCAAUAUAUGUAAGGAAAACUGAAAUAAGAACCAAACAUCCACAUGAAGGAAGCACUUGUUUAUUUCUAGCUAGCUCUAUACCCAAAAUGAUCAAACAUGUAUUUAUUUAUAGCAAAGUUGAAUAAGAAAACAACCGCAGGUGCAAGAAAGCACUUACAAAUAUCUUAGCUUACUCCUAGCUAGCUUUCUGCCCAAAAGAAAAAAAAUCAUAUCUAUAUGACUAUAUAUGGAGCAUACCUCAAUAACUUGAAUCCAUCUUAGGCAAAAGCAGCACCGUGGACACAGCCAACCUGCAGUGUCUCCUAUCUCCUUUAGCAGACAAAUCAAGCAUUAAAAGGGAAGCAAAUGCAAAAGGAACCCAAACAUGGCCAAAACAACACAAGAACUAUGUUGUUGGCUAGAACCUAAAAACGAACAGAAGACUUCGCUGCCCAACCUAAUUUCUACUUUGAUGUUGCUAUUACUAAAAUGACCAUAUGUUUCAGGUCAGACAAGAUACCAGGCAGCAAUUAUUAGUAAAACAUGCAGUACAUAGUCGUAUAGGCUGAAUGUUUACAGCUGAAAAUAGCACUUUGUAAUAGAUAUUUACAUGUAAAACAAAGCGGCAACUGUUGCUAGAGCGGUCUGCACUGGCUAAGGCUGACGUUCCAGAUACAUUCUUCCAUUCGAGUGCUCUGCUAUUUUCUUCGAAGCAGAGGAAGGAGAUUUGGCAUAUGUGCUCGACCAUGUGGUGUCAUUAAUCAUUGAAAUUUUUAAAUGGUAUUACCUGUCAUUCUGAGACACCAACAUCUAUUAACUUAUGAUUCUGCAAGGCACACACAUAAGUAAAUGUAAGCACAAGUUUCUCACAAGUAUGUCAAGGGUCAUUGCUAAGUUAACAGAAAAGAACAGAAAGAAAUACAAUGGAACAGGAAGCACCAGGGACCAUACCUCGGGCUCGAAGUACGAGAAGGGGAGGCCGGAGCAGCAGGAACUGGGGUAGUACGGAUGAAGGACGAUAGGCUGGAGAGCAUGACGUGACCAGGGGCGGAGGAGCACACACAGGAGGAGUACGACCAGGAGGGGCCGGCGACGCCAAACCUAUCUCGCUGCACGCCCAUCUCGGCAGUUCGAGAGAGGUGCAAGGAGAUGUUGCAGCCCAGGGAGAAAGCAUGGAGGGAGCGGUGACAUUUGGGCGACGCUAGGGAUGCGGCGGAGGGCGGAUCAGAUCUGCGGACGAUGGUACUUGACGGCGUCGGAGGAGGUUGCUCGGCAGCAGCGGUGGUCCGUGAGGAAGGUUGGUGCGAUGUGUGGUCGAGGGCUGCUGGGGUCGGGCGGCGGAGGGCGGUCGAUGGCGGCUAGGGUCAAAGCAGAAGGGAUUUGGGCUAGAUCUGGCCGGGACGACGGUACUAGGGUCACAACAGAAGGCGUUUUGGGC